rnacentral:rRNA from 1 species
AGUGAACGCUGGCGGUAGGCCUAACACAUGCAAGUCGAACGGCAGCACAGUAAGAGCUUGCUCUUACGGGUGGCGAGUGGCGGACGGGUGAGGAAUACAUCGGAAUCUACUUUUUCGUGGGGGAUAACGUAGGGAAACUUACGCUAAUACCGCAUACGACCUACGGGUGAAAGCAGGGGAUCUUCGGACCUUGCGCGAUUGAAUGAGCCGAUGUCGGAUUAGCUAGUUGGCGGGGUAAAGGCCCACCAAGGCGACGAUCCGUAGCCGGUCUGAGAGGAUGAUCAGCCACACUGGAACUGAGACACGGUCCAGACUCCUACGGGAGGCAGCAGUGGGGAAUAUUGGACAAUGGGCGCAAGCCUGAUCCAGCCAUACCGCGUGGGUGAAGAAGGUCUUCGGGUUGUAAAGCCCUUUUGUUGGGAAAGAAAAGCAGCAGGUUAAUACCCCGCUGUUCUGACGGUACCCAAAGAAUAAGCACCGGCUAACUUCGUG